ensembl:lncRNA
GGACCAUUGUUACUCCACAAUAAAGGAUGCAUAUCGCUCGGUCCCCAGAGCAGCUGUAGGACUCUCUGACCACUGCCUGGUUCAUCUUAUACCGACCUACAGGCAUAAACUUAAAUCUGCUAAACCUGUAGUAAAGUCUGUAAAGAGGUGGACCAACGAAACAGAGCAGGCAUUGCAAGCCUGUUUCGACUGCACUGAUUGGAGUGUUUUUGAAGCAGCCACCAACGAUCUGGACGAGCUCACAGAAUCUGUAACAUCAUAUAUCAGUUUCUGUGAAGACAUGUGCAUCCCUACCAGGACUCAUUUAACAUUCAACAAUGAUAAGCCAUGGUUUACAGCAAAACUUCGUCAUCUUCGUCAGGCCAAAGAGGACGCCUACAAAAGGGGGGACAGAGUCUUGUACAAUCAGGCCAGAAACACACUGAAUAAGGAGAUUAGAGUGGCCAAGAGGAACUACGCUAAAAAACUAGAACACCAGUUUUCUGCGAAUGAGCCUGCAUCAGUGUGGAAAGGCCUGAAGGACAUCACCAACUACAAGACACCAUCCCCCAGCACUGAGGCCAAUCAACAACUUGCUGAAGACCUGAAUGGGUUUUACUGUAGAUUUGAAACUCCCAGUCUAACACCCCACACCCGCUCUGAACAUCUCUCCACACAACCAUCAACACCUCCUGCAACCCCCCUCUCCCCCACUCCUACGUUUCAGAUCAGUGAGGAUGAUGUGCGCCAGGUCUUCAGGAAGAACAAGAGAAGAAAAGCACCAGGCCCAGACGGUGUGACACCAGCCUGUCUGAAAACCUGCGCUGACCAACUGGCCCCCAUCUUCUCACAGAUCUUCAACAGAUCACUGGAGCUGUGCAAAGUCCCUGCCUGCUUCAAACGCUCCACCAUCAUCCCCAUCCCAAAGAAACCUAAGAUAACAGGACUUAAUGACUACAGACCUGUGGCCCUAACGUCUGUGGUCAUGAAGACAUUUGAGAGGUUGGUGUUGGCUUAUCUGAAGGACAUUACUGGACCCUUACUAGACCCCCUGCAGUUUGCUUACCGAGCAAACAGGUCCGUGGAUGAUGCAGUCAAUAUGGGACUGCACUUCAUCCUGCAACAUCUGGACAAAACAGGGACUUAUGUGAGGAUCCUGUUUGUGGACUUUAGCUCUGCUUUCAACACCAUCAUCCCAACACUCCUCCAGACCAAACUAACCCAGCUCUCUGUCCCUAGCUCUAUCUGUCAAUGGAUCACCAGCUUUCUGACAGAUAGGCAACAGCUAGUGAGAAUUGGUAAAUUCACAUCCAACAACCGCACCACCAGCACUGGCACCCCUCAGGGUUGCGUCCUCUCCCCACUGCUCUUCUCCCUCUACACCAAUGACUGCACCUCUAAAGACCCCUCUGUCAAGCUCCUGAAGUAUGCAGAUGACACUACAGUCAUCGGUCUCAUCAAGGAUGGAGACGAGUCUGCUUACAGACAGGAGGUUAAAGAGCUGGCUGUCUGGUGCAGUCUUAACAACUUGGAGCUGAACACCCUCAAAACAGUGGAGAUGAUCGUGGACUUCAGGAGGAACCCCCCUGCACUCCCCCCACUCACCAUCAUGGAUAGCACUGUAACGACAGUGGAGUCAUUCAGGUUCCUGGGCACCACCAU